UUAGUAGCGUUCUAUUGUUACCUAGCAACCUAAAAGGACCAGCGCUGGCGCUCUUUCUGUGGCGCUGGACCAGCGGCCGAACCCGGCGGCCAUCUUGGAGACGAGGAAAAAAAAGAAGACAGCCAUCAAUCCUCGAAAGGGGGCUCUUCUGAAGGAAACCAGGGCGCUGACGCUAAGAGGGAAGCCGUGGUUGAGCAGCGAGGGCUUACGUUGAGGCAAUGACCCAGAGGAAUGUUCUUGUGCUUCUUCUGGAUGUUUCUCCAAAUAAGACAACUGGAAACAUCGGCAGAGCAGCAGGUUCAGGAAUUGGGCCUGUAAGAGGGAAGGCAGACACAAAACUAAACAGUGAAUGUGAAGAGAUUCCUUACCGCCCGUGCAUGUCUUGCUUUAAAGACAUGGCAGUAAAGUUGACCAUCGGUGCUGCCUGGGUUAUGGGAGACGAAGGCAAACUGGGCAUCUGUUGGGCGGGCAGUGGACAGAG